rfam:Medicago truncatula strain A17 chromosome 2, whole genome shotgun sequence.
UUUGAGGUAAAUGGUGAGUAGCCAACUUGGAGGAAGUGAUCAAUUCUUGGGAUAAAAUUAAAUUUGCUUCUUUUUACCCCAAAAACUUUUUACCGUGGGUAAAAAGAAUCUUCUUGGGGUAUAAAAAGAAUCAGAUUUAGAUUUAACCCAAAGAUUGAUGAUAUAUUUCCUCUAAGAAGACUGCUCACUAUUUACCCCAUG